rnacentral:rRNA from 1 species
GAACGAAGACUGUAGUAAUACUGUCUUAGUGGCGAACGGGUGAGUAACGCGUGGGUGACCUGCCCCGAAGUGUGGGAUAACAGUCCGAAAGGAUUGCUAAUACUGCAUAAUAUCCAAGAGAUUAGAUGCUUUUGGAUUAAAGGAGUAAUUCGCUUGGGGAGGGGCCCGCGUCCCAUCAGCUAGUUGGUAAGGUAAUGGCUUACCAAGGCGAUGACGGGUAGGGGACCUGAGAGGGUGGCCCCCCACAAUGGAACUGAAACACGGUCCAUACACCUACGGGUGGCAGCAGUAGGGAAUAUUAGUAAUGGGCGAAACCUGAACUAGCAACGCCGCGUGUGCGAAGAAGGCCUUCGGGUCGUAAAGCACUUUUUGAGAGGAUGAGGAAGGACGGUACUCUCAGAAUAAGUCUCGGCUAACUACGUGCCAGCAGCCGCGGUAACACGUAGGAGGCAAACGUUAUCCGGAUUUACUGGGCGUAAAGCGCGUGUAGGUGGUUUGGUAAGUAGGGCGUGAAAGCUCCUGGCUCAACUGGGAGAGGACGUUCUAAACUGCCAAGCUUGAGGAUGGUAGAGGGAGGUGGAAUUCCGGGUGUAGCGGUGGAAUGCGCAGAUAUCCGGAGGAACACCAGUGGCGAAGGCGGCCUCCUGGACCACUCCUGACACUCAGACGCGAAAGCUAGGGUAGCAAACGGGAUUAGAGACCCCGGUAGUCCUAGCCCUAAACGAUGUAGACUUGGCGUCGGUGGUUUAAUCGCCAUCGGUGUCGUAGCUAACGCGAUAAGUCUACCGCCUAGGGACUACGGCCGCAAGGUUAAAACUCAAAGGAAUUGACGGGGACCCGCACAAGCGGUGGAUGAUGUGGUUUAAUUCGAUGCAACGCGAAAAACCUUACCCACCUUUGACAUGUACGGAAUCCUUUAGAGAUAGAGGAGUGCUCGAAAGAGAACCGUAACACAGGUGCUGCAUGGCUGUCGUCAGCUCGUGUCGUGAGAUGUUCGGUUAAGUCCGCUAACGAGCGUAACCCUCGCUGUGUGUUACAAGUGUCACACGGUACUGCCGAUAUUAAGUCGGAGGAAGGUGGGGAUGACGUCAAGUCAGCAUGACCUUUAUAUCCAGGGCUACACACACGCUACAAUGGCCAGUACAAUGGGUUGCCAAGCGCGAGGCGGAGCCAAUCCCUAAAAAGCUGGCCCCAGUUCAGAUUGCAGUCUGCAACUCGACUGCAUGAAGUUGGAGUUGCUAGUAACCGCAGGUCAGCAAUACUGCGGUGAAUACGUUCCCGGG